rnacentral:tRNA from 1 species
GGGUAGGGUGGCCGAGUAGGUGGCAGGUUGUAACCCUGCUUACGGGGCGUAUGCCCCCCCGAUCAA